rnacentral:rRNA from 1 species
GUCUACUGCCAUAUGACCCUGAAUAUGUCCAAUCUCGUCUGAUCUCAGAAGCUAAGCAGGGUCAGGGUUGGUUAGUACUUGGAUGGGAGAAAUAUAUAUUUAUUUUCUGCCCCCAGUUCCUGGCAUAGAGC